rnacentral:rRNA from 1 species
UAGGGAAUAUUGGUAAUCUGGGAAACCGGGAACCAGCAACGCCGCGUGUGCGAUGAAGGCCUUCGGGUUGUAAAGCACUUUUUGAGGGGAUGAGGAAGGACAGUACCCUCAGAAUAAGCCUCGGCUAACUACGUGCCAGCAGCCGCGGUAACACGUAGGAGGCGAGCGUUAUUCGGAUUUACUGGGCGUAAAGCGCGUGCAGGCGGCUCGAUAAGUUGGAUGUGAAAGCUCCCGGCUUAACUGGGAGAGGUCGUUCAAUACUGUCGGACUAGAGGAUGAGAGAGGGAGGUGGAAUUCCGAGUGUAGUGGUGGAAUGCGUAGAUAUUCGGAGGAACACCAGUGGCGAAAGCGGCCUCCUGGCUCAUAUCUGACGCUCAGACGCGAAAGCUAGGGUAGCAAACG